GACGAACGCUGGCGGCGUGCUUAACACAUGCAAGUCGAACGGAAAGGCCCUGCUUUUGUGGGGGGCUCGAGUGGCGAACGUGUGAGUAACACGUGAGUCACCUGCCCUUUACUUUGGGAUAACUUGAGGAAACUGGGGCUAAUACCGGAUAGGAGCGCCUGCUGCAUGGUGGGGGUUGGAAAGUUUCGGCGGUUGGGGAUGGAGUUGCGGCUUAUCAGCUGGUUGGUGGGCUAGUUGCUUACCAAGGCUUUGACGGGUAGCCGGCCUGAGAGGGGGACCGGCCACAUUGGGACUGAGAUACGGCCCAGACUACUACGGGAGGCAGCAGUGGGGAAUAUUGCACAAUGGGCGGAAGCCGGAUGCAGCAACGCCGCGUGCGGGAUGACGGCCUUCGGGUUGUAACCCGCUUUCGCCUGUGACGAAGCGUGAGUGACGGUAAUGGGUAAAGAAGCACCGGCUAACUACGUG
rnacentral:rRNA from 1 species